rnacentral:rRNA from 1 species
GGACUGUAGGCUGCAACUCGCCUACACGAAGUCGGAAUCGCUAGUAAUCGCGGAUCAGCAUGCCGCGGUGAAUACGUUCCCGGGCCUUGUACACACCGCCCGUCACACCAUGAGAGCCGGGAACACCCGAAGUCCGUAGUCUAACCAUUAAGGAGGACGCGGCCGAAGGUGGGUUUGGUAAUUGGGGUGAAGUCGUAACAAGGUAGC